AUUGAACGCUGGCGGCAGGCUUAACACAUGCAAGUCGAGCGGGGGAAGGUAGCUUGCUACCGGACCUAGCGGCGGACGGGUGAGUAAUGCUUAGGAAUCUGCCUAUUAGUGGGGGACAACAUCUCGAAAGGGAUGCUAAUACCGCAUACGUCCUACGGGAGAAAGCAGGGGAUCUUCGGACCUUGCGCUAAUAGAUGAGCCUAAGUCAGAUUAGCUAGUUGGUGGGGUAAAGGCCUACCAAGGCGACGAUCUGUAGCGGGCCUGAGAGGAUGGUCCGCCACACUGGGACUGAGACACGGCCCAGACUCCUACGGGAGGCAGCAGUGGGGAAUAUUGGACAAUGGGGGGAACCCUGAUCCAGCCAUGCCGCGUGUGUGAAGAAGGCCUUAUGGUUGUAAAGCACUUUAAGCGAGGAGGAGGCUACUUUAGUUAAUACCUAGAGAUAGUGGACGUUACUCGCAGAAUAAGCACCGGCUAACUCUGUGCCAGCCGCCGCGGUAA
rnacentral:rRNA from 1 species